AAUCAACGCUGGCGGCGUGCCUAACACAUGCAAGUCGAACGAGAAAGUGACUUCGGUCACUGGACAGUGGCGUCCGGGUGAGUAACACGUGGGUAAUCUACCUUCGGGUGGGGAAUAACGUCUCGAAAGAGACGCUAAUACCGCAUAAUGCAGCGGCACCUUAUGGUGAAUAGUUGUUAAAGCGGGGGAUCGCAAGACCUCGCGCCUGAAGAGGAGCCUGCGGCAGANAGCUAGUUGGUGAGGUAAUGGCUCACCAAGGCUGCGAUCUGUAGCUGGUCUGAGAGGAUGAUCAGCCACACUGGAACUGAGACACGGUCCAGACUCCUACGGGAGGCAGCAGUGGGGAAUAUUGGACAAUGGGCGCAAGCCUGAUCCAGCCAUGCCGCGUGUGUGAAGAAGGCC
rnacentral:rRNA from 1 species